rnacentral:rRNA from 1 species
AUGGGAUGGGGUCGCGUCCUAUCAGCUUGUAGGCGGGGUAAUGGCCCACCUAGGCUUCGACGGUAGCCGGCCUGAGAGGGCGGACGGCCACAUUGGGACUGAGAUACGGCCCAGACUCCUACGGGAGGCAGCAGUGGGGAAUAUUGCGCAAUGGGGGAAACCCUGACGCAGCGACGCCGCGUGCGGGAUGAAGGCCUUCGGGUUGUAAACCGCUUUUGAUUGGGAGCAAGCUUUCGGGUGAGUGUACCUUUCGAAUAAGCGCCGGGCUAACUACGUGCCAGCAGCCGCGGUAAAU